ACUAUCUCCUGUUCUACAGCUGGAAUUGGAUGAAAAUCUACAGUGUUCCUCAUCUAGUAGAUCUCAAAGUGCUUUGAAAAGAAAUGCCAUCUAGAAGGAGGAGUUCUAUCUAUUUUGAAGGGAGGGGGAAAAAAAUCCUUAAAUCUCCAAUGCGAUGAAUAUGACAAAAGCUUUUUGGUGUGAACAGGCCUGAGGCUGACAAAAGCAUGAACCAAAUGCAGCAAGGACUAGAAAAUGGGUGAACGAGCAAGCAAACUGGAGAACUGCCUGCUCACUUGGUCUAGUGAACAAAUAUUACUGCAACUUAAGUACUGAACAAGUUAGACUGCUCCCUACGCCUUCAAAACUUGCAGAAU